CUGAAUGUCCUUGCAAUAGGCCUAUGUUUAAACUGCAAAUAAAAUAGACGGCCAUCACUUAGCUCAAGCUACGUUAGCCAGCCUGUCAACUGGAAUGACUAGAGAAGCUAACUAACUAGCAUACAUGGCUAUCAGCAAGCGGCAAAACGAUAAUUCAAUCAUUUCACGACGAGGGACAUACGUUGGAUGAAAAGGUAAAUAGGCUAAUCUUACAUAGCCUACCAACUUCAUUUCUCUUAGAAAUCGAUCCAUUUUCUUAACACUUUACAAUCAGUGCCCCUGAUCAGCUUUGUAAAUCAAAGCACCAAUUACCACCCCUUUCGUUCGAAAAUUCUAAAACAACGAUGUUUUUUAAUACCUCAAAAUAACAUUUGAUAAAUGAACCUUAC